rnacentral:rRNA from 1 species
UACAGAGGUCUCGAGCGUUAGGCGGAAUCACUGGGCUUAAAGCGUGUGUAGGCGGAUCGUUAAGUACCUCGUGAAAUCCCACGGCUUAACCGUGGAACUGCUUGGUAUACUGGCGGUCUUGAGCCAGCUAGGGGCUACCGGAACAAAUGGUGGAGCGGUGAAAUGCGUAGAUAUCAUUUGGAACGCCAAUGGUGAAAACAGGUAGCUGGGGCUGUGCUGACGCUGAGACACGAAAGCCAGGGGAGCAAGCGGG